rnacentral:rRNA from 1 species
UGGGGGAUAUUGCACAAUGGGCGAAAGCCUGAUGCAGCGACGCCGCGUGGGGGAUGAAGGCUUUCGGGUUGUAAACCUCUUUCGCUAUCGAACAAGGCCCGCUUAGGGUGGGUUGAGGGUAGGUGGAGAAGAAGCGCCGGCUAACUACGUGCCAGCAGCCGCGGUAAUACGUAGGGCGCGAGCGUUGUCCGGAAUUAUUGGGCGUAAAGGGCUUGUAGGCGGCUUGUUGCGCCUGCUGUGAAAACGCGGGGCUUAACUUCGCGCGUGCAGUGGGUACGGGCAGGCUAGAGUGUGGUAGGGGUGACUGGAAUUCCAGGUGUAGCGGUGGAAUGCGCAGAUAUCUGGAGGAACACCGAUGGCGAAGGCAGGUCACUGGGCCAUUACUGACGCUGAGGAGCGAAAGAAUGGGUAGCGAACAGG